CCUACGGGAGGCUGCAGUGAGGAAUAUUGGUCAAUGGACGAGAGUCUGAACCAGCCAAGUAGCGUGAAGGAUGACUGCCCUAUGGGCUGUAAACUUCUUUUAUAUGGGAAUACAAUGUUCCACGUGAGGGAUCUUGUAUGUACCAUAUGAAUAAGGAUCGGCUAACCCCGUGCCAGCAGCCGCGGUAAUACGGAGGAUCCGAGCGUUAUCCGGAUUUAUUGGGUUUAAAGGGAGCGUAGGUGGGUUGUUAAGUCAGUUGUGAAAGUUUGCGGCUCAACCGUGAAAUUGCAGUUGAAACUGGCAGUCUUGAGUACAGUAGAGGUGGGCGGAAGUCGUGGUGUAGCGGUGAAAUGCUUAGAUAUAACGAAGAACUCCGAUUGCGAAGGCAGCUCACUGGACUGCAACUGACACUGAGGCUCGAAAGUGUGGGUAUCAAACAGGAUUAGAUACCCCUGUAGUC
rnacentral:rRNA from 1 species